rnacentral:rRNA from 1 species
CUCAGUUCGGAUUGGAGUCUGCAACUCGACUCCAUGAAGCUGGAUUCGCUAGUAAUCGCGCAUCAGCCAUGGCGCGGUGAACACGUUCCCGGGCCUUGUACACACCGCCCGUCAAGCCAUGGGAGUCGGGAGUGCCUGAAGUUCGUGACCGUAUAGGAGCGACCUAGGGCAAGACUGAUGACUGGGGCUAAGUCGUAACAAGGUAUC